CCUACGGGAGACAGCAGUGGGGAAUAUUGGGCAAUGGGCGCAAGCCUGACCCAGCAACGCCGCGUGAAGGAAGAAGGCUUUCGGGUUGUAAACUUCUUUUGUCAGGGACGAAGCAAGUGACGGUACCUGACUAAUAAGCCACGGCUAACUACGUGCCAGCAGCAGCGGUAAUACGUAGGUGGCAAGCGUUAUCCGGAUUUACUGGGUGUAAAGGGCGUGUAGGCGGGGAAGCAAGUCAGAUGUGAAAUCCACGGGCUCAACCUGUGGCCUGCAUUUGAAACUGUUUUUCUUGAGUUCUGGAGAGGCAAUCGGAAUUCCGGGUGUAGCGGUGAAAUGCGUAGAUAUACGGAGGAACACCAGUGGCGAAGGCGGAUUGCUGGACAGUAACUGACGCGGAGGCGCGAAAGCGUGGGGAGCAAACAGGAUUAGAUACCCCAGUAGUC
rnacentral:rRNA from 1 species